GAACUAGAAAGUUUUUUUUAUAGUUUUUGGAACUCUACUUAUAAAAAUAAUGUAUCUAAGAGUGAUGAUUCCGACUAUGAUAGUUGGAAUAAUCACAUUAAUAGUUGCAUUGACAGUUAUCUUCGGUCUCAAAUCUGUAUUGAUAGUUACUUUUUAAGUGGUAGUCACAAUUACAGUGACAGUUACGUUUAUAGUUACAUUUGUGGUGAAGGUGGAAAUAGUAGUGAAAGUGAGAGUUCCAGUAUAAGAACUAGCACGGAUGGAAGUGAUUUAACUAGAACGGAGAGUUCUACGGAAAGUUCUACGGAAAGUUCUAUCGAAAGUUCUACGGAAAGUUUCGAGACCCCGAAAAAUGAACAACUUUUCUUCGGAACACAUAAAAGAUUCGUCAUUGCAAAAAGGGGGCGGCCCUGCUAUCGCAAUCGUACAACAAGAAUGAACUGGAUGAGAUGCAGAGGAGCUGGCUUCUCGGUUCGGUGGAGGGGAAAAAAAACAGAUAUGUUGACCUAGGUUGCCUAAUCAUAUCGAAGAAGGCUUUGAAAUAAGAAUACAGGUGGAAACAAGAUGUGCCCAUCCUAUUUUUUUUCUGACCGACGCAUGUAGGUUAGAGAGAUGAAGAUGAGCAGAGCAACAGUGACUUGAAGGAAGAGGUUUUCGAGAUUUCGUACCAGGAGCCUCCAAAGAUUUAGCUGAAAAGUUUGUAAGAGUAUACUCCACGAGCAAAGAUGAUAGAAGACUUACAAUACAAAGCUUUGAUAUGAUAACGACUCUCAUUCAUUGA